rnacentral:rRNA from 1 species
GAUGAACGCUGGCGGCGUGCUUAACACAUGCAAGUCGAACGGUGAACGAGGGAGCUUGCUCCCUCCGGAUCAGUGGCGAACGGGUGAGUAACACGUGAGCAAUCUGCCCUGGACUCUGGGAUAAGCGUUGGAAACGACGUCUAAUACCGGAUACGAGGCGUGGGGGCAUCCCCAACGCCUGGAAAGAACUUCGGUCCAGGAUGAGCUCGCGGGCUAUCAGCUUGUUGGUGAGGUAACGGCUAACCAAGGCGACGACGGGUAGCCGGCCUGAGAGGGUGACCGGCCACACUGGGACUGAGACACGGCCCAGACUCCUACGGGAGGCAGCAGUGGGGAAUAUUGCACAAUGGGCGCAAGCCUGAUGCAGCAACGCCGCGUGAGGGACGACGGCCUUCGGGUUGUAAACCUCUUUUAGCAGGGAAGAAGCGAAAGUGACGGUACCUGCAGAAAAAGCACCGGCUGACUACGUGCCAGCCGCCGCCGUAAUAC